rnacentral:rRNA from 1 species
GUUGUGGUUAAAGCUCGUAGUUGAACCUUGGGCCUGGCUGGCCGGUCCGCCUCACCGCGUGUACUGGUCCGGCCGGGCCUUUCCCUCUGCGGAACCCCAUGCCCUUCACUGGGUGUGGCGGGGAAGCAGGACUUUUACUUUGAAAAAAUUAGAGUGCUCCAGGCAGGCCUAUGCUCGAAUACAUUAGCAUGGAAUAAUAGAAUAGGACGCGCGGUUCUAUUUUGUUGGUUUCUAGGACCGCCGUAAUGAUGAAUAGGGACAGUCGGGGGCAUCAGUAUUCAAUCGUCAGAGGUGAAAUUCUUGGAUUGAUUGAAGACUAACUACUGCGAAAGCAUUUGCCAAGGAUGUUUUCAUUAAUCAGGAACGAAAGUUAGGGGAUCGAAGACGAUCAGAUACCGUCGUAGUCUUAACCAUAAACUAUGCCGACUAGGGAUCGGACGGUGUUAUUUUUUGACCCGUCCGGCACCUUACGAGAAAUCAAAGUGCUUGGGCUCCAGGGGAAGUAUGGUCGCAAGGCUGAAACUUAAAGAAAUUGACGGAAGGGCACCACCAGGAGUGGAGCCUGCGGCUUAAUUUGACUCAACACGGGGAAACUCACCAGGUCCAGACACAAUGAGGAUUGACAGAUUGAGAGCUCUUUCUUGAUUUUGUGGGUGGUGGUGCAUGGCCGUUCUUAGUUGGUGGAGUGAUUUGUCUGCUUAAUUGCGAUAACGAACGAGACCUUGACCUGCUAAAUAGCCCGUAUUGCUUUGGCAGUACGCUGGCUUCUUAGAGGGACUUUCGGCUCAAGCCGAAGAAGUUCGAGGCAUAACAGGUCUGGGAUGCCCUUAGAUGUUCUGGGCCGCACGCGCCGCUACAAUGAC